rnacentral:rRNA from 1 species
CCUACGGGUGGCAGCAGUGAGGAAUAUUGGUCAAUGGGCGCGCGCCUGAACCAGCCAAGUAGCGUGAAGGAUGACUGCCCUACGGGUUUUCAACUUCUUUUAUAAAGAAAUAAAGUGAGGCACGUGUGCCUUUUUGUCUGUACUUUAUGAAUAAGGAUCGGCUAACUCCGUGCCAGCAGCCGCGGUAAUACGGAGGAUCCGAGCGUGAUCCGGAUUUAUUGGGUUUAAGGGGAGCGUAGAUGGGUUGUUAAGUCAGUUGUGAAAGUUUGCGGCUCAACCGUAAGAUUGCAAUUGAUACUGGCAGCCUUGAGUACAGUUGAGGUAGGCGGAAUUCGUGGUGUAGCGGUGAAAGGCUUAGAUAUCACGAAGAACUCCGAUUGCGAAGGCAGCCUACUAAACUGCCACUGACAUUGAUGCUCGAAAGUGUGGGUAUCAAACAGGAUUAGAUACCCGAGUAGUC